AGCAGAUUUGAACCCAGGCUUCUGCAAUGGGUCUCCUUCACAAGUGGUCCCUUUAUUUUUCCAGUCACACUCCAAGGCCCACCCCUAGUGGCUCCGCUGGGGAGCGCCCCACAGUUUAACAGCCACUUUAAGGCUUUAGUUUAAGCCAGCAAGUUUAAGGCUACACUGAGCUUUGCAUACAGACUGGAUAAAAUUAAGGUCAUCGCAAGUAGAGGAUGGAGCAUAGAAACUCAGAGAUGGAGAUGGAGAAGAGAGGUUAGAUUUAAAGGUCUGUGGCUGAACCUUUGGACCUGCUCCCGGUCAGCCUGUUGAUAUUAGACCUUGGUCUUAAUAUUAUCAUAUUUCACAGCAGCGAGGUAGAAGAAGAGGCGAUGCGGAUGGGGAGGAAGAUGCCCGCAGAGGCUCAGGAGCCACAUCUGGGUGUAAGAAGUUCAGGUGGAACAAAUAAUUAAUGCGGUUGUUUGCUCUUACUGUGUUCACCAUGACAGUUAUGUGUUUCUAAGCUUAGUUUAUUUCCUCAUUUUAAAUAUAGAAAAGAAAACACAGAAAGAAAACACACAUUCACACUCCUGUUUGGACACAAAGUGAGAACAGAACUGAAUAGAAAUGAGAAAUCACAAGACGAGCCCAGCACGUGUGUUCAUGUGACCUCCAAAUUUUACUCAAAAUAACCUUUUACUUAGUGAAUUUUUAAAUAACUGCCGUGUUUAUACAUUUUCAGACAAGUCAUCAGGUUUUGGGUUAUUUGUACAAAUGUAUGGACCCAAAUGAUUAAAGUACAUAACUACAUAAGCAAGAAUUAAAUCAGGAUUCCGGUAAGUUUCACUCUAAUAAGCAUUGCUGCACAGAGACUGAGCAGGGGAUUGAAUUUUCCUGGACUGCUUAGUUUUUUUUUUUUGAUAAAUCCUUGUAAGAAAGUGCUCAGUUUUCUUGGUUUGAAAGCUCCAAUCUUGAUCCAGCCUUAGCUCAGCACUGGAAGGUGAACGAGAACUGCAAAGUCAGAUCACUUGGGAGGUAAGUUACUCAGAGGGAGUGAGUCUGAUAACCACCACAAAGGUGACAACAAACUGACAGAGAGUGGAGGUUUCAGCUGGCCUUUUGAAUCCCAGGGUAAUGAGUAGAUGAGAGACUGGUGUGCUGACUGAAAGAAGGCGGCAGGAGCAAAACCAGACCUGUGGCCAACUCCACCUGAGAGCAAAGAGAGAGGGAGGUGAGCUGGAGUCAGCUGGAAUCCCAACACUCGGUGGAUAAAGUGAUGAAUAAAUAUACCAACAGAGCCUACAGGUGGAUGCUGGCAUGGCGGAGAGGUUCAAAGAGCACCAGAGAGAUGUGAAGCUUUGCAGCUAAAUAGCCCUUCAUAUUGAAAGGGUGUGUUCCUGUUUGUUUUUGUGAUAUCUUUAUGCAAAUCUUUCCCCUCACACACCAACUACCUGUCCUUGUGAUUUCAAGAUUCAAAGAUUCAAAGAUUUUCUAAUGUUAGUUUGCUACAUGUACAGAGCAUACAGGAGAACUGAAACACUGUUUCCCCCUUAGUGUAAAAGAAGAACUAAGUGAAUACCAAAAGUAUUCAUUCACUCAUCCAAAUCAUUGAAUUUAGGUGUUCACUUCCAUGACCACAGGUGUAUGAAAUCAAAUAUCUAGGCAUGCAGACUGCUUAUACAAACAUUUGUGAAAGAAUAGGUCGCUCGCAGGAGAUCUGUCACAGCAUGCCACCUGUGCAACAUGUCCAGUCGUGAAAUUUCCUCGCUACUAAAUAUUUCACAAUCAACUCUUAGUGGUACUAUAACUAAGUGGAAGCAUAAUGUGCAGAGGUCAGCAACUUUCCCUCCAAACGUCACGUGGCCUUCAGAUUGGCUCAAGAACAGUGUGUAGACAGUUUAAUGAACAGGUUUCCAUGGCCAAGCCUCACAUCACCAAGUGCAGUGCAAAGCGUUGGAUGCAGGUGUGUAAAGCUCACUGCCACUGGACUCUAGAGCAGUGGUCCUCUCUGGCAGUCUGAUGGAUGAGUUUGGGUUUGUUGGUUGCUAGCACAGCGGUACUUCUCUGACUGCACUGUGCCAAGUGUAAAGUUUGGUGGAGGGGGGAUUAUUGUUUGGGAUUACUUUUCAGGAGGACUCAGCCCCUUAGUUCCAGUGAAAUGAACUCUUAAUGCUGCAGCACACUAAGACAUUUUGGACAAUUUCAUGCUCCGAACUUUGUGAGUACAGUUUGGGGACGGCCCUUUCCUGUUCCAGCAUAACUGCACACCAGUGCACAAAGCAAGGUCCAUAAAGACACGGAUGAGGAAGUUUGGUGUGCAAGAACUUGACUGGCCUGCACAGAGCCCUGAUCUCAACCAGAUGAACACCAUUGGGAUGGGUUAGGGUGGAACCAGACCUUGUCCAUUAUAAGUGUCUGACUUCACAAAUGCAAUACAGGAAGAAUGGUCAAAAUUCCAAUAAACAAACCUUGUGAAAAGCCUGCCCAGAAAAGUUGAAGCUGUUAGCUGCAAAAGGUGGGGCAACAUCAUAUUAAACCCUAUGAAGUAAGAAUGGGAUGUUACUGAAAUUCAUAUGCAUCUGAAGACCAAUGAAUAAAUACUUUUGAAAAUAUAGUGCAUAAAAAAAUCAAACCUAUGUAUAAUAGUGGCAGUAGUGUAAGCUAUAAAUAAAAUAAAUAAAUAAAUAAAUGAAUGAAUAGAGUAGCUUGUGAGCCUGGUUCUCCUUGAGGUCUCUUGUUAAAAGCAAGUUCUUCCUCCCCACUAUCAUCAAGUGCUGUCUCAUAGGGGAUCCUCUAAUCAUUGGAUCUCUCUCUUUAAUAUUGUAGGGUGCCUGCUGCACAGUACAAAGCACCUUGAAAUAACGCUUCUGAAUUAAAAUUGAAUUGAACUGUUUGAUAUGUGAUGUGAGAAGAGGUGUGAUGUUGCAUGUCUAUGAUGCAGUGCAGCUCAAGCUGCCUGACUGAACUAGCAUGCAGGCUCUGGUGCAUAUUUCCUCUUCAUUUGCACAUAUCAGAGUGCACUGAAGACGAUUAUUAUCCU